rnacentral:lncRNA from 1 species
GUUACUUUGGGGGCCCUCCAGGGAACAGGGUAUAACAGAUUGGGAACCAGUGUUCCGUGCUUCCUCCCCCAAGUUGGGAAAUUCCUUUUUGGAAAUGAUUUGCCUUUUUACUCAGUCAGUUAAUGACACUAAAAGUUAAUGUAAAACAGCAGACCUUCCCGUUCUGCAACUUCCAUAAUGAAGCCACCGCCCUGGUGAAUACAGUGUCACCAACCUUACCAAGUGCAGAGCUCCUGUUUCAAAAAGAACCUGACCCUCCUGCAUUCCCAAGGGGACCGGCUCUGGAGAGAGGAAACCUGGACCAGAAGCAGAAUGACAUGCAGUUUAAAUCACCUGAGGAAGAUUCUUGAACAUGGAGCUUCAAAAAGAGAAGACAAAUGAAUUUGAGGCACACCGGAGCUUCUGAAGAUCUUCACUGUAAGCGCAUAGAGAAUUUCAGCUCCACGAACCUUUAUUCUGCCCUGUGUGGAAGGACUACAGGUUGCUGUCACCUGUAAAGGAUAAUUCCUUUACAUCCCUUCCUGAUCACAGACAGCAUUGCCAUGAUGACCUUGGGUGAGUGCUAUUUUGCAUACUUGAAGCUAUGCAUGUAGGGUAAAUUCGCAGGGGCAGAA